GCACUGGCAGAACGUUUUACCGUUGUGGUUCUUUACUACUUUUGGAAGGAGAGCGACGUCACAAAAGUAGACAGUGC
rfam:Hapalosiphon sp. MRB220 contig_27, whole genome shotgun sequence.